UACGUAGGGUGCGAGCGUUGUCCGGAUUUAUUGGGCGUAAAGAGCUCGUAGGCGGUUUGUCGCGUCGGCCGUGAAAUCUCCACGCUUAACGUGGAGCGUGCGGUCGAUACGGGCAUCACUGGAGUUCGGCAGGGGAGACUGGAAUUCCUGGUGUAGCGGUGAAAUGCGCAGAUAUCAGGAGGAACACCGGUGGCGAAGGCGGGUCUCUGGGCCGAUACUGACGCUGGAGGAGCGAAAGCGUGGGGAGCAAACAGG
rnacentral:rRNA from 1 species